CAGUAACCACGGUAACACGGAGGGGGCUAGCGUUGUUCGGAAUUACUGGGCGUAAAGCGCACGUAGGCGGCUUUUUGAGUCAGAGGUGAAAGCCCGGGGCUCAACCCCGGAAUUGCCUUUGAGACUGGAUCGCUUGAACACGGGAGAGGUGAGUGGAAUUCCGAGUGUAGAGGUGAAAUUCGUAGAUAUUCGGAACAACACCAGUGGCGAAGGCGGCUCACUGGACCGUUGUUGACGCUGAGGUGCGAAAGCGUGGGGAGCAAACAGGAUUAGAUACCCCCGUAGUCCCUGUCUCUUAUAC
rnacentral:rRNA from 1 species